rnacentral:ncRNA from 1 species
ACUCCUGUGAGAAUGCCCUAUGGUCCCCACCCGGGAACAAGGAGCUGGUAUCAGGUACAACCGCGGUUAGCCCACGACACCUUGCUUAGCCACACCCCCACGGGAACUCAGCAGUGAUAGACAUUAAGCCAUGAGUGAAAACUUGACUUAGUCAAAGCUAAGAGGGCCGGUAAAACUCGUGCCAGCCACCGCGGUUAUACGAGGGGCCCAAGUUGAUAGACACCGGCGUAAAGGGUGGUUAGGAUAAAAAUUAAAGACUAAAGCCGAACACCUUCAAGGCUGUUAUACGCACCCGAAGGUAAGAAGCUCAAUCACGAAAGUGGCUUUAUUCCCACCGAACCCACGAAAGCUACGACACAAACUGGGAUUAGAUACCCCACUAUGCCUAGCUGUAAACAUUGAUAGUGUAAUACGCCCACUAUCCGCCCGGGAACUACGAGCAUUAGCUUAAAACCCAAAGGACUUGGCGGUGCUUUAGAUCCACCUAGAGGAGCCUGUUCUAGAACCGAUAACCCCCGUUUAACCUCACCCUUCCUUGUUCAUUCCCGCCUAUAUACCGCCGUCGUCAGCUUACCCUGUGAAGGCCUAAUAGUAAGCAUAAUUGGCAAAGCCCAAAACGUCAGGUCGAGGUGUAGCGUAUGGAGGGGGAAGAAAUGGGCUACAUUCCCUGGCACAGGGAAACACGGAUGGUGUGCUGAAAUAUACACCUGAAGGAGGAUUUAGUAGUAAGCGGGGAAUAGAGCGCCCCACUGAAAUCGGCCCUGAAGCGCGCACACACCGCCCGUCACUCUCCCCGAAAAUACAAAUUUGCAAUAAUUAAUACACUAUUAAUAUAAAGGGGAGGCAAGUCGUAACAUGGUAAGUGUACCGGAAGGUGUACUUGGAGAAAU